GUGCACCAGGCGAGAAACUUUACAAUGUGCGAAAGCACGAUAAGGGAACUCUGAGUGCCUCCUAAGGAGGCUGUUCAGGUGUCUAAAAGCACCUGAAGGAAGGGCUGGGUAAGACCGGUGCCAGCCGCCGCGGUAACACCGGCAGCCCAAGGUGGUAGCCACGGUUUAUUGGGUCUAAAGCGUCCGUAGCCGGCUGGGGU
rnacentral:rRNA from 1 species